GUACUGCUGAAGAGUCCCAAACUAGGACGAAACAGCUGUUCAAUAC
rfam:Trichobilharzia regenti genome assembly, scaffold: TRE_scaffold0003517